rnacentral:lncRNA from 1 species
CUCAGAUUACAACUCAUAUACAUGAGACUAUUAUUGAUAUUUAUAAAUCAGACUAUUACUGGGACCAACUGACAUCAAUACUAAUGGAGCUCUGCCCAGAUUUUAACCCUCACAAAUAUUUGAGGGAUGUCUACUCCUCACUCAUGGGUAAGGGAGAAGACUACCUUCACUCAAAUUAAUUGAGGAAGAAAAUACCCCCACAAUACUUUUGUGGGGGUUCGAACUGCUGCCCUCCAAGUUGGAGGGCAGCAGCCCUGGCCACUCGGGC